rnacentral:ncRNA from 1 species
GCGAGUCAUACAGGAGAGAGCGGCACCCGCGGCCGCCGCCGAAGGCGCAAGCGCACCCGCAAAUCGCUCAGGCAAAAGGACUGUAUCAUCGAG